rnacentral:rRNA from 1 species
GUACACGAGCGGCGAACGGGUGAGUAACACGUGAGCAACCUACCCUCAACUUCGGGAUAAGCCUCGGAAACGGGGUCUAAUACCGGAUAUCACUCUUGGUUUCAUGACCGGGGGUUGAAAGUUCUGGCGGUUGGGGAUGGGCUCGCGGCCUAUCAGCUUGUUGGUGGGGUAAUGGCCUACCAAGGCGUCGACGGGUAGCCGGCCUGAGAGGGCGACCGGCCACACUGGGACUGAGACACGGCCCAGACUCCUACGGGAGGCAGCAGUGGGGAAUAUUGCGCAAUGGACGAAAGUCUGACGCAGCAACGCCGCGUGAGGGAUGACGGCCUUCGGGUUGUAAACCUCUUUCAGCAGGGACGAAGCGAGAGUGACGGUACCUGCAGAAGAAGGACCGGCCAACUACGUGCCAGCAGCCGCGGUAAUACGUAGGGUCCGAGCGUUGUCCGGAAUUAUUGGGCGUAAAGGGCUCGUAGGCGGUUCGUCACGUCGGGAGUGAAAACUCGGAGCUCAACUCCGAGCCUGCUUCCGAUACGGGCAGACUAGAGGUAGGCAGGGGAGAGCGGAACUCCUGGUGUAGCGGUG